rnacentral:misc_RNA from 1 species
GAUGAAGAACGUAGCGAAAUGCGAUAAGUAGUGUGAAUUGCAGAAUUCAGUGAAUCAUCGAAUCUUUGAACGCACAUUGCGCCCCUUGGUAUUCCGGGGGGCAUGCCUGUUCGAGCGUCACUAUCACCCCUCAAGCUCAGCUUGGUGUUGGGGCCUGCCCGUCACAGGGCAGCCCUUAAAAGCAGUGGCGGUGCCAUCUGGCUCUACGCGUAGUAAUACUUCUCGCGACAGAGUCCCGGUGGUGUCCUGCCAGAACCCCCCAUAUUUUUAAUGAUUGACCUCGGAUCAGGUAGGGAUACCCGCUGAACUUAAGCAUAUCAAUAAGCGGAGGA